AAGCAUAUCAGUAAGCGGAGGAAAAGAAACUAACCAGGAUUCUCCUAGUCCUGGGCACGCUAGUCUACUCGAAGUCCAACUCCGAUUACGGCUUUGGAUUUAUGCCAUAGUGGGUGAAAGACCCGUUCGGGUAGACAGUAAUGUUUUUAGCGUGCUCCAGAUGUUGUCGUUUUGGAGUCGGAUUGCUUGAGAAUGCAGUCCAAAGUGGGUGGUAAACUCCAUCCAAGGCUAAAUACUGGCACGAGUCCGAUAGUAGACAAGUACCGUGAGGGAAAGUUGAAAAGUACUCUGAAGAGAGAGUAAAUAGUACGUGAAGCUGCCUGCAAGGAAGUUGGUGGAGUCAAGCUUCUUAGAAGUGGAAUUGGCGCGGAGAAUUUGUAAUGUUUAUUGGCCGGUGGUGUAUCAGCUUGUAAAUGACUGGAUAGGCUUGCCUAUCUAAGGCGUUCCGGGUUGUACGCUUUUUAUGCAUUCUAAAUUUUGGUCAAUUCUCUUGUGCUGUUUUCGCUUCUUAACAUCACAGUCGAUGCUCAUAUAUUGUUUGGUGAUCUAACCGUGGCCUUUGUGAAUCUCGGUUCACUGGCCAUGGGAUGGCAGGUGUAAAUGCUAGGACUUCGGUUCUAAUGUUUCUUAUUUUGGUUUUACCUUGUCGAUUACCAGUUGUUUUAUAUAAUUAAUUAUGUGCAUUGUUCUUAUAGCAAUAGUAACUAUUAAUGGUUGCUUUGUUGAGAGCUGUGGUGCCGAGGUAGAUGUUCCACCCGACCCGUCUUG
rnacentral:rRNA from 1 species